CAGGCUUAACACAUGCAAGUCGAGGGGCAGCAUGGUCUUAGCUUGCUAAGGCCGAUGGCGACCGGCGCACGGGUGAGUAACGCGUAUCCAACCUGCCUUACACUCUUGGACAGCCUUCUGAAAGGGAGAUUAAUACAAGAUGUUAUCAUGAGUAAGCAUUUUCGCAUGAUUAAAGGUUUACCGGUGUAAGAUGGGGAUGCGUUCCAUUAGAUAGUAGGCGGGGUAACGGCCCACCUAGUCUUCGAUGGAUAGGGGUUCUGAGAGGAAGGUCCCCCACAUUGGAACUGAGACACGGUCCAAACUCCUACGGGAGGCAGCAGUGAGGAAUAUUGGUCAAUGGGCGAGAGCCUGAACCAGCCAAGUAGCGUGAAGGAUGACUGCCCUAUGGGUUGUAAACUUCUUUUAUAAAGGAAUAAAGUCGGGUAUGGAUACCCGUUUGCAUGUACUUUAUGAAUAAGGAUCGGCUAACUCCGUGCCAGCAGCCGCGGUAAUACGGAGGAUCCGAGCGUUAUCCGGAUUUAUUGGGUUUAAAGGGAGCGUAGAUGGAUGUUUAAGUCAGUUGUGAAAGUUUGCGGCUCAACCGUAAAAUUGCAGUUGAUACUGGAUAUCUUGAGUGCAGUUGAGGCAGGCGGAAUUCGUGGUGUAGCGGUGAAAUGCUUAGAUAUCACGAAGAACUCCGAUUGCGAAGGCAGCCUGCUAAGCUGCAACUGACAUUGAGGCUCGAAAGUGUGGGUAUCAAACAGGAUUAGAUACCCUGGUAGUCCACACGGUAAACGAUGAAUACUCGCUGUUUGCGAUAUACAGCAAGCGGCCAAGCGAAAGCGUUAAGUAUUCCACCUGGGGAGUACGCCGGCAACGGUGAAACUCAAAGGAAUUGACGGGGGCCCGCACAAGCGGAGGAACAUGUGGUUUAAUUCGAUGAUACGCGAGGAACCUUACCCGGGCUUAAAUUGCAGAUGAAUUACGGUGAAAGCCGUAAGCCGCAAGGCAUCUGUGAAGGUGCUGCAUGGUUGUCGUCAGCUCGUGCCGUGAGGUGUCGGCUUAAGUGCCAUAACGAGCGCAACCCUUGUUGUCAGUUACUAACAGGUUCCGCUGAGGACUCUGACAAGACUGCCAUCGUAAGAUGUGAGGAAGGUGGGGAUGACGUCAAAUCAGCACGGCCCUUACGUCCGGGGCUACACACGUGUUACAAUGGGGGGUACAGAGGGCCGCUACCACGCGAGUGGAUGCCAAUCCCCAAAACCUCUCUCAGUUCGGACUGGAGUCUGCAACCCGACUCCACGAAGCUGGAUUCGCUAGUAAUCGCGCAUCAGCCACGGCGCGGUGAAUACGUUCCCGGGCCUUGUACACACCGCCCGUCAAGCCAUGGGAGCCGGGGGUACCUGAAGUGCGUAACCGCGAGGAGCGCCCUAGGGUAAAACUGGUGACUGGGGC
rnacentral:rRNA from 1 species